AGCACAGUGUGCAGUCAGGUGGAGGAAUUAACUACAGCAGUAAGUCAGCAAGGUACAGAAAGUAGCUGGAUCCCUAAAAGGCCUGAAUAUUUUCCUAGUCAUGAAAUCACUGAUUAUACGUUUUAAAGGAAAAGUAAUGGUGUUCUAGUUCUCUUGCCAUUGGCUAACUAACUUGUGUACUCCUGUGGGGCAUCUUCCCUCCACCCAUGUGAUGUGGAUCAUGUUUUCAUGGCUAACCUUGUGGUUUUUAAUCCUGCUUCCAUGCACACUCCAGGGAAUAUAGGAUAUACUUCUCUCCUUUGAUAGUAACUGUGUAGUCUCUGUGUCUGUGUGAUGUCUGAGUCAAGCUGCUGCUCAGCUUUCAUUUCCAAGUCAUUUUCUUUGUAAGUUAAAGCUUUGUUUUUUCAGUUUCUCCCCCCCCCCGCCCCGAGUUCAAGAGCUGUUGGUGUUCAGGCAUCAUCCUUGCUUAAAGACUCCACAGGCCCUAUUCUGCCACUGAUUUGCAUGUCUGGCAGCCCAUUUGUUUUCUAGGAUUUUUGUUGUUUAUAAUUAAAACAGAAUUUAGCAGUGCAGCUGCAGCCUGAUUGCAGCUCUCUUAAUGAUCUCAAACAAAAACAUAAUCCUGCCUCAUCUCCUGUAGUUGUGUUGACUCAGUGAGAAGGGGAGGAAUCAAAAGAAGUAAUAGUGCCUUUCACCUGUUCUGCCUACAAAACCAUUGUUUGGAAGGGCAGAGUAGAUGGUAGUUCUGAACGAUGAAAAGGAGCACAAUUCUGAGGACAGAACUAUGCUGUGAAGGUGUAUAGCUCAGCCAGUUUUUAUUGAUAAUGCUACUUUUGUAAUACUACCCUUUUGCUUUUUAAGGUAUUUCCACUGGCGGCAUCAAAUAACUUACUUGGGGCUUGUGUGGAAGUGGUUGUAUCUGAAAGAAUUUACUUCUAAUUUCAGAGCAAACUCCAAAUAAUGAAAGCUUUGCUUAACGAGACACAUUCUACAGUGCAGGUGUUAGGCACUUACAUUUGGGCAUUUUCUUCAUGAUGAUGAUGGGGAGAUGUCACCCAGACUGACUGCAGCUGGUAACAAAGCAGGAAGAUAAUGGCACAUGAAAAUGUUUUUGAAUUUGUAUUGGAUUGUAUUGGAGUGGCCUGGCAACACAGCGCUGAAAGUAAGCAGCACCCGGUAAGCCCUCUGUGUUCUCUAAUGGCAUCUCUCUGUGCAGUGCUUUUCUUUCACUGUAAAGCUUUGCUUUCUGUCAGACAGUAAAACUUGUGAUGCUCAGCUGAAAGGCAGUAUUUUGUAAGUAGCCCCUCAAAUGUGCAUCACCCUGAGGAAGGAUAUUUGGUUUAGUUUCAGAAUUAUCUGUGUCCUGAUAAGUCUAAUCCUUUUGCCAUUACUAUUGGAAUAGAAUUUAUGGCAAGGCAAACUUGUCUUACCUAUCAAGAGAGGAGAUUAUAAAAGAGUUUAUUUCAAAAGAAGCUGAACCACUUUUUUUUAUUUAACAACUCGUGAAUAGUUCUGCACAUUUUUGGAAUAAUUUCUUCCUGUGCUUACCACAAUAACACAUUUGGCUUUUGUUAAACUAUUUUGCACCUUAGUUGUUUUGUCCUUAAAAUUAUUAUGUGUUUUGGUUUUUGUUAAUUCUGCAUAAAGAAGCAUUUGUAAGCACGUAUAGUGAGCAUUUCUAAAGACCAUUCUUACAAAAUAGCUGUUCAGUAUGGAACAAAGCAUGAACUAAGCUCAUGUACAUACGAAAGAACUGAUAAGUGGAAGAUUAUUUUAUUACCAAAUCUGCACUAGUUUCAGGGACUGGCCUGUAGGUCUUACAACAGAAUUUGAGUAUCGUUGGCUUGUUUUAAACUAGUCACUUUGCAGACCUCACCAUUUUCCUGGGGUGGUCAUGUGGGCCACUAGUGGAAGAAGGACAAAGAUUCAUAGGGUUCUGGGUAAAUGCAGAAACUGCAUUCCUCUGGGCUCUUGUGCAGGGCCAUGCUCUGCAGUAAUUCAGGACAGGUGUGGAAAUUUAAGUCUGAGGUACAUUCUUACAGGUAAAAAGCUUGGGCACGGUGGGAAAAGUACACUGCAGAAUAUCAGUGAAUUGAAUUUUGCACAUGUAGGAGUUAAUACACGGUUUGUGUAUGUGCAAAUGCUACCAAAUGCUGUGAUUGUUGUAAUCUCCUGUUAAUAAAGGGAUUGACUUGCAGUUCAAAAUGACUUGCAUAAUUCUGCAUGCUAUAGUGUUAAUCCUUCCAAGGGGUUUAAAGCCUUCAGUGUUUUCUAGCCCUCAGUGCUUCCUUACUUGACUGCAGUACCUGCAGUACUUGUUUUUAUGAAGUGUGAAUUGUGGUACUCAAACACGAAUAAUGAAUUAUGUUGUCCUGUACUGAUGGGCCUGUAGAUGACAUGCAUCAGGGAAAUGUGAGGCUCAGCCUCAGCUAAACCUCUAGCCAAAUACAUCCAAAUGGUAACUUUGUGUUUUUGAGGUCUGACAAAAUCAUGCAAAAUUUUUGUGAGUAUAUUAGUUUUGCAACUACUCUCUUGGGCCCACAUACAUAUAUUGUAACGGAAAAUUGAAUGCCCAUGUGCUACCUGUGUCAAAGUUGUCUCUCUCCUAGCACAGACCAGGGCAGUGUCUCCACCAGGCUGUGCCAAGGUUCCCGGCAUAGGCAUGCUGGAAUAACCUCAGACCACUGCUUGGUGUUUUGCUUUAUCAUGUUUUACCUCAGCACUAAAUCCAGUAUUACAGUUUUUAUUCAUCUCUAGGUUUGCAUGUGUGCACAAAUACUCUAAGCUUUCUUCUUUCAUUUUUUUGGCAACAUCCAAGUUUUGCUCCUGUGAGUGUGUGCCUGUCGUAUACCAUCGUUUGAUAUCUGAGCCUGUCAAGAAAUGUAAAUUCAAGUUUGUAUUUCUGUUUGUUUGCAGAGAAGCUGCUGUGCCUCUGAUUCCUGGCAGAAGGGUUUCAGCGAGCCAGUCCACAGAGGAACGGUGAUGCUGUGCAGAGCAGAGUGGGUCUGGCUGUAGUAGCAAAUUUGGGUUGGAGAGAGAGGCACAGAGAAAGAAGAUAGAUAAAAGAAUUAUCUAAUCUGGGAAGGUCUUAGUUCCUCAGGCAGCAUAGCAAGCCACACACCCUACGAGCUUACAGGACUGCUUUAAGGGGCAGGAGGACUGCUUGCACUACAGAUCUUCUAAGAGGCAAGUGGUGUUUCAGCAUCCUUUGUGGGUACUCCUGGCCCCUUUCCACAGGAGAGAUUCCAAAGAGGACUCUCGCUUGCUGCUCACGGUGUUCCCUGCCUUCCUGUGGGGUCCAGUGGAACACCUUAAGAGUUUGAAAAGCUUAAAAAUCUUAGCUAAAAGCUUUCCUCUUCACCUUGAGUUGUGCUACAUCUGAAGUGAACCCACUGAAAGACAAGAGGAAGUAAUCCAGCUGACUAGAUGCCUCCCCCUUUCCUGUUAGGUGAAAAAUGAUUUUUCAGAAAAUCUUGUACUGGAUAUACAUCCAUCCUAUGCAUUUUUGCAUUUUAGUUAGCCUAAUUUUUAAUCAAAAGCUAUGUUGGCGGAAUUUUUUUCAAUGAUGCAAUGGAAGUAGCAGAGAUGAAAUAUCAGACAUGCUGUUCGUCCUGUUACCUUUAAGCAAGGGUCUGUACCUGUGGUGUGUCCCAUCGGUAUUACCCGAAUAGCAUGAAUCCUGCUGUGUGCAUCUUUCUAAUUGCUAAGCUGACAUUUCAAAGCAGGAGAAAAGUGAGCUUUUGUCCUUCAGAGUUGCAGCGACAAAAUUCAAAGAACUGAGGAGCCCUGCCCGCUGUGGUGACAAUCUAGGAGAAUUCACAACAGAAUCCAAACAAAAUUUCCCAUGGCAAGUCCUGACUUGUUUCCUUCUGUGAAUUGUCUAACUCAGUAUGUAUGACAUUCAUGUUUCGCAAGAAUCCUUGCAGACAAAGUUAAUAAAGUUAAUAAAUGCCACAAUCAACUGCUGGUUUCUGUUGCUUACCUUUGGUGCCACAUUUAUAGCACAAGAAUGAAGCUAAGGGGAAAUUGAAAGGCUUCAACUUUCUCCAUGCCAACCACCUCCUUCCCUAUCUAUGAAUGGGAAGUUGCAGCCAGGAGCCACAUAUACCAAAAGAUGUAAAAGAUGUGACAGAUUCAUAGGUAUUGUGAGAAGUGAGGGCUUUGCAUGGAUUCACGUAGCAGUCGUACUGCUGGUGCAAGAUAAACAUUUUUUUGCAGCUUCUGUGCAGUUUCUUCCACUCUGAAUUAUAAAUCAUACAAUGCUGCAUUUAAAUGGUAAUUAUUAAAUGGUAGAAUAAAACUUCAUAAGUUUAGAUUAUUUGAGGGAGAGGAACAAAGAAGUAUUCAUAGAACAGAAAAUGGAGUGAAUUUCAGUGAUUGUGCACUGUAAGAUCUGGAGCUAAAUAAUUCAUUUGUACAAGCGAUAAGAUUUGGCUGCUACCAACAGUUACCAUAAAGGAAAUUAAAGCAUAUUCUACUAAAUGUAUAUAUGUAUAUGUAUUACCAUAAUUGUGAAGGCAAUAAGCCAAAAAUAUAUUGGACUGAAUCUAAAAGCUAAAUUCUGAUGUUGCUCAAUUCAGUAGGUCCAGCCAUGCACACUGUGUCUUCACAUCUUGUUAUUAAGCAGAAAGAGCAAGGAGUAUUACUUAGGAGUGCUCUCCUUCAAUGCCUUUGUUGCCUUUGGUUCUUUCAUUUAAAUGUACUGAGUCCUCCUUCAUGUUUAAAGAUAAGAAGUGAAAAUAACAUAAAACACUUUACUAAAAGUGACAAGACACUAAUGGAAGCAAUUGGAAUGACUUGGUGUUGCUGUGCAUUACAUACAGUAUAAGCAGCCUUUUGAAUGGGUAUUAUGUAUUACAGGGUAUUUAGUUAUAAUGAACCAGUUCAACAUGAAGUUUUAUGCAUAAUAUGGAACUAUCUUGUUUGGUUUUAAAAAAAAGAUUGUUGCUGUUACAUAUUCCAAAAUGUUCUGACCUCGUCAGCAAAGCAAAGCUACAAUGCUUUUAAAAAUCAAAAUAUGGUAAAUCUGAAGCUUGUUAUGUGCAGUAUGUUCCCAGGUUUGAAGUUGGAUUGUGCUGUAAGCACCAUAACAUUUGUUUGGCCUGGGUGAAGAGAGAUAAUAACAUCAAAUAUAGAAAAUAGGCCAGUUCAAAUUAUAAACAAUUUGCAGUAGCAUCUCAGUUGGCAGUGUCAGUUGGUAGUGUUUAAAAAAUGAAUUGUUAGCAGCAAUGUGUGAUCUGGGUUUUUUUUCUUUCUUUUCAACAGUUAGUGCCAUGUUUCUGCUGCAGUGACUGCAAUUUACAAAGUGAGUGUUGCUUUUACUGCCUAUAGAUACGUGUUUUUGAAAACCAAGGUAGUAUAUUUUAUAAAGACGCCUGAACUGUGGAAAAUUAUUAGAGGGAACCACAAAGAGUGACUUGUCUUCAGUCUCUGGUUCUCGUUUCUUCCGUAGGUUUACCUGAAGCCUGCCAGUCUAAGGCCUCAGCACAAAUUACUGGGAGACUCACAGGAUGAGGCGUUAUGAUCUCUCUCUUCCCUACACCACCAUCAGGCAAAUUGACAAGAGUUACCCUCUGUGGCAGCUCUGCUGCACAAUGGUUUGCUCUUCUCAACUGAGCCAUCAUCAGCCUCCUGUCUCUUAAUUUUUAAUGGCAGGGAUCACUACAAAUAGACUUUUCUACCUUUUAUCUUUCUUAAAAACCAAUGUUUUAUUAACACAUUUAUCACUCUGUUGUGCUGUUUUUCAGUGGGGAAAACUGAGCUGCCAGCAGGAGCACCUGUGUGUAUCAGCUUUAAACUAUGGCAAGAACUAAUGAUGCAUCUAACCUGGAAUCGUGUCCAUGCAGGUAAGAAAGGAACAGAGUGGGAGAGAGGGAAGGAUCGAACUUACAGCAUCUUUCAAAGAGCAGGCCUGUUCACAGGUCAGCCUGGGCUCAGAAAGCAGAGAGCAUAGACUGUGGUGGCUGUAAUGCCAAGAGUAGGUCUCCUGUGUUGGCGUACAGGGUGCCUGUGUGUGGCCUACUCAGUUUAACCUUUGUCUUGGAUUGAGGUGCAUUAAUAUUUCUCAAGGCUUAUGAACAUGUCAGUAAAAUCCUUUAGUGGUGGUGAGGUAGCUGUGAUAGUGAGUGAUUGUUAAGCCACAUAAAACACACACAAGUAAUGCAUUACUUUCAGGUCAGCCUGCACAGCUAAAUGCCUGAUGCUACAGAUAGGCACCAUGCAUAAAGGUGGAGGGUAAUGAUCUUGGAAGAUACUUGCUGUUUCACACACCAGACUCUCCAAAGCACUUUCCCACAAAACAUUGAGUAUUUCAUGCCUGAGGGUGAAAACACUGCAGGAAAUCAGCAAAGAGGAAAAAAAUAUCCCAAAACCUAAGCAGUGAGAGUAGUAUUUGUCAAUGUUGCAGGUCCAGGAAAGAUUUAGUUACAGGUGUCAUGGAGAAUAGUCUGGGCCUUUGCAAGUUCAGCUUACUGCUGGAAAUUGCCUUUAAAUCAAAGGAAGCAAAAUGGCACUCACCGCUGAGACCUGCAGUUGUAAGCACUAAAGGUACAGGGUAACUUUGUUUUUCCUAAAUUUGAUGGAUGCUUCUAGUCUGUCACAGUAGGAAUGGCUGUACUGAGCUUCCUGGGAAGACAGGGCACCAUGAUUGUCUCUCUGGUCUGUUGUCAAUGGCCAAAUGGUCCUUGGAGGCUGGCUGCAAGGAGUGGGCCAGUUGCAUUCCUCUGUUUGCCUGUUCCCUGCUGUGUUCCUUCCCUGAGUGCUUAGCAUCUCCCUGUGUAUUAUCUGGGGUUGCUUGCUGAUGGGGAGUUAUGUGUUUGAACAACAGGAAACAUCUGAUUCUUAACCUCAUCACUACAAGGUGUGCACAUAAGGGUACUACAUAAAUUACUUCAGUUACCAAUGGGUGGGGAAAUUGGACAAUUGGUGGCUGUUUCCUGGCUAAGGAAAGUUAUGAUUUCAAUUUCUGCAAGUUCCAGAAAGUGUGGGGUAAAUUCUAGCCAACAGUCAGGCAGAGGGAGAUGGGUCUGAAAAACAGAACUGAGAGGUGACCCCAGUUCCAACAGAGACUGAUGUGUCUUGGCUGUUGCAAGCAUGCAGCUGAGGGGGAAAAAAAGUCCUCAGCAUAAAAACAUCUGAAGUUUUAAUAACUCUCAAAAAUGAGCAAUGUGCAAAAAGAUUUUUCUUCAGCAAGGCAAACUCUGUCAUACCUGCAGAUGAUGAUAUCCCAAAAUAAAUUAAUGAAAUGGUGACGUUCAGGGAAGGAACAGCUGACAGCUUUGUAUGGAUCUUCAAGUGUGGAAAUGAGUGAUAUUUUCUGUCAGACUAACUUGCAACAGGGAUGAUAAAAAAUAAAACCAUAGUAGAAUGACAGAGCCCACUCACAAGUUGUUUACUGAAAUGAAGAUACAGCUGAAAGUAAUUACUUGUUUCCCAGAGGUAUAAGUGAUAGUGCCUCCUACAAGAAAUAAUAGUCAGUUAUUUCAGUUGGAAUGUAAAAUGGGAUAGAAAGGUUUCCUCUUUCUGAGGUUAGAUGCUGGGUAUUUUUACCUCCUUUCAGAACAUAUAUAUAUGAAUGUAAUAUAUAUUACAUAUACAGUCAACCAUCUAUAUGCCACUGGCGAUUAAUAAGUGAGAUAAUGUCCAAUAUUGUUUUCCCUUAACAGCCAGAUCUCACUGUACAGAUUCUGAUUAAAAGCCCAACUUUGCAGCACAAAAGAUUAAAAAUACUCCUUUAAAAUAACAUAUUUCUGAAGAUGAUCCUCUCCUGGCUACAAAAUCAUCUUGAGAAACUUGGAGGCAGGGCUGCUUGAUCUUGACGUUUUAGCUGUAUGCAAUCUGUAGUAAAAUUACAAUUGCAUUCUGUGCUAGCUACUUGUACCUUCUUGCUGAAGAACACUCAUUUUCUAUGCCCUUUCUUCCAGACCAUGGGAUGUGGGAAAACAACCUGGAAGGUUUCACAGAGGUUGCCUUACUGAAAUCUUCCUACCAUGGGUUUGCAGAUCAGCCCCUCAUAAGAAGCCUCCUUUGCCUUGCCACAGGCCAUGGAAAAGAAACCAUUGCUCCUGGGAGUUUUCUUCUGUUUAAAGACAAGGCUCCUUCUUACCUGCACCAGUUCAAGUACUGACUUUUUCUUUUCUUCCUCCUUCAGUAAAGUGGGAUGAUUCACAAAAUCUUCAGAAAGAUAGCAUUAUACACAGUUUAUAGUACAAAGAGGGGGGG